rnacentral:rRNA from 1 species
UACGAAGGGGGCUAGCGUUGCUCGGAAUGACUGGGCGUAAAGAGCUCGUAGGCGGUGUGUCACGUCGGCCGUGAAAACCUGGGGCUUAACUCUGGGCGUGCGGUCGAUACGGGCAUCACUAGAGUUCGGCAGGGGAGACUGGAAUUCCUGGUGUAGCGGUGAAAUGCGCAGAUAUCAGGAGGAACACCGGUGGCGAAGGCGGGUCUCUGGGCCGAUACUGACGCUGAGGAGCGAAAGCAUGGGUAGCGAACAGG